UAGCUAGUUGGUGAGGUAAAGGCUUACCAAGGCGACGAUCUGUAGCGGGUCUGAGAGGAUGAUCCGCCACACUGGAACUGAGACGCGGUCCAGACUCCUACGGGAGGCAGCAGUGGGGAAUUUUGGACAAUGGGGGCAACCCUGAUCCAGCCAUGCCGCGUGAGUGAAGAAGGCCUUCGGGUUGUAAAGCUCUUUCGGCCGGGAAGAAAUCGCAUGGGUCAAUACCCUGUGUGGAUGACGGUACGGGAAUAAGAAGCACCGGCUAACUACGUGCCAGCAGCCGCGGUAAUACGUAGGGUGCGAGCGUUAAUCGGAAUUACUGGGCGUAAAGCGUGCGCAGGCGGUUUUGUAAGACAGGCGUGAAAUCCCCGGGCUUAACCUGGGAACUGCGUUUGUGACUGCAAGGCUAGAGUACGGCAGAGGGGGGUGGAAUUCCACGUGUAGCAGUGAAAUGCGUAGAGAUGUGGAGGAACACCAAUGGCGAAGGCAGCCCCCUGGGUCGAUACUGACGCUCAUGCACGAAAGCGUGGGUAGCAAACAGGAUUAGAUACCCUGGUAGUCCACGCCCUAAACUAUGUCAACUAGGUGUUGGGUGGGUAAAACCAUUUAGUACCGUAGCUAACGCGUGAAGUUGACCGCCUGGGGAGUACGGCCGCAAGGUUAAAACUCAAAGGAAUUGACGGGGACCCGCACAAGCGGUGGAUGAUGUGGAUUAAUUCGAUGCAACGCGAAAAACCUUACCUACCCUUGACAUGCCAGGAACUUGCCAGAGAUGGCUUGGUGCCCGAAAGGGAGCCUGGACACAGGUGCUGCAUGGCUGUCGUCAGCUCGUGUCGUGAGAUGUUGGGUUAAGUCCCGCAACGAGCGCAACCCUUGUCGUUAAUUGCCAUCAUUUGGUUGGGCACUUUAACGAGACUGCCGGUGACAAACCGGAGGAAGGUGGGGAUGACGUCAAGUCCUCAUGGCCCUUAUGGGUAGGGCUUCACACGUCAUACAAUGGUCGGUACAAAGGGUUGCCAAGCCGCGAGGCGGAGCCAAUCCCAGAAAGCCGAUCGUAGUCCGGAUUGCAGGCUGCAACUCGCCUGCAUGAAGUCGGAAUCGCUAGUAAUCGUGGAUCAGCAUGUCACGGUGAAUACGUUCCCGGGUCUUGUACACACCGCCCGUCACACCAUGGGAGCGGGUUCCGCCAGAAGUAGGUAGCCUAACCGCAAGGGGGGCGCUUACCACGGCGGGGUUCGUGACUGGGGUGAAGUCGGAACAAGGUAGCCGUAGGGGAACCUGCGGCUG
rnacentral:rRNA from 1 species